GACGAACGCUGGCGGCGGGCUUAACACAUGCAAGUCGAACGGAAAGGCCCUGCUUUUGUGGGGUGCUCGAGUGGCGAACGGGUGAGUAACACGUGAGUAACCUGCCCUGGACUUUGGGAUAACUUCAGGAAACUGGGGCUAAUACCGGAUAGGAGCUCCUGCUGCAUGGUGGGGGUUGGAAAUUUUGGGCGGUAGGGGAUGGACUCGCGGCUUAUCAGCUUGUUGGUGGGGUAGGGGCUUACCAAGGCUUUGGCGGGUAGCCGGCAUGAGAGGGUGACCGGCCACAUUGGGACUGAGAUACGGCCCAGACUCGUACGGGAGGCAGCGGUGGGGAAUAUUGCACAAUGGGCGGAAGCCUGAUGCAGCAACGCCGCGUGCGGGAUGACGGCCUUCGGGUUGUAAACCGCUUUCGCCUGUGACGAAGCGUGAGUGACGGUAAUGGGUAAAGAAGCACCGGCUAACUACGUG
rnacentral:rRNA from 1 species